rnacentral:rRNA from 1 species
CCUACGGGAGACAGCAGUCGAGAAUCAUUCACAAUGGGGGAAACCCUGAUGGUGCGACGCCGCGUGGGGGAAUGAAGGUCUUCGGAUUGUAAACCCCUGUCAUGUGGGAGCAAAUUAAAGAGAUAGUACCACAAGAGGAAGAGACGGCUAACUCUGUGCCAGCAGCCGCGGUAAUACAGAGAUCUCAGGCGUUGUUCGGAAUCACUGGGCGUAAAGCGUGCGUAGGCUGUUUCGUAAGUCGUGUGUGAAAGGCGGGGGCUCAACCCGCGGACGGCACAUGAUACUGGGAGACUAGAGUAAUGGAGGGGGAACCGGAAUUCUCGGUGUAGCAGUGAAAUGCGUAGAUAUCGAGAGGAACACUCGUGGCGAAGGCGGGUGCCUGGACAUUAACUGACGCUGAGGCACGAAGGCCAGGGGAGCGAAAGGGAUUAGAUACCCCAGUAGUC